rnacentral:rRNA from 1 species
UACGUAGGGGGCGAGCGUUAUUCGGAAUUAUUGGGCGUAAAGGGCGCGUAGGCGGCCUGUUAAGUCGAACGUGAAAUCCCCGGGCUCAACCCGGGAACUGCGUCCGAAACUGGCAGGCUCGAAUCCGGGAGAGGGAUGCGGAAUUCCAGGUGUAGCGGUGAAAUGCGUAGAUAUCUGGAGGAACAUCGGUGGCGAAGGCGGCAUCCUGGACCGGUAUUGACGCUGAGGCGCGAAAGCCAGGGGAGCAAACGGG